rnacentral:rRNA from 1 species
UACGUAGGGGGCAAGCGUUGUCCGGAAUCAUUGGGCGUAAAGAGCGUGUAGGCGGUCCGGUAAGUCGGUUGUGAAAAUCCAGGGCUCAACCCUGGACCUGCACCCGAUACGGGCGGACUAGAGUUCGGUAGGGGAGACUGGAAUUCCUGGUGUAGCGGUGAAAUGCGCAGAUAUCAGGAGGAACACCGGUGGCGAAGGCGGGUCUCUGGGCCGAUACUGACGCUGAGGAGCGAAAGCGUGGGGAGCGAACAGG